rnacentral:SRP_RNA from 1 species
GCCAGGCACGGUGGCAUGUGCCUGUAGUCCCAGCUACUUGGGAGGCUGAGGUGGGAGGACUGCUUGAACCCAGGAGUUCUGGGCUGUGGUGCACUAUGCCGAUUGGGUGUCCACACUAAGUUCAGCAUCAAUAUGGUGACCUCCCAGAAGCGGGGGACCACCAGGUUGCCUAAAGAAGGGUGAACUGGCCCAAGUUGGAAAUGGAGCAGGUCAAAACUCCCGUGCUGAUCAGUAGUGGGAUCAUGCCUGUGAAUAGCCACUGCACUCCAGCCUGGGCAACAUAGCAAGACUCCAUCUCU